UGCAAGAAGUACGUAAAAGAGCCGCUGCAACAGCUAUCAGCCAACAGUUCUUUUCCGCACAGAAGUGUUACGGGUCGCAAAGAAGACUACGCAACAUUGCAGCUGGUGGUGCUAGUUUGCCUAGGGUCGGAUUUAGGCGGACGCGUUUCGUUAGCUACACAGUGUUCCAUGACCGAUUAAUAAGCUGCGCGUAGUACGCGAACAGUCUGACGGCAAGCCUCUACGUAGGUUGACUUGUAACAAAGUGAAAAGCCAUUUCUUGUGCGAGCACACGAGUCUCUGGCUAGUUGUUUUCAGAUAGGAACCAGCAGCCAGGUUCGCCUAAUCCGAAUGCAACAGCGGCAGCUGUUGUUAAGUUCCGAAGAACUGUGGUAAUGGUGAAAGUAAGAGAGAUUUAUUCCCAACCACCGAGCCUAUCUCUGCUGGUACUGCUUUCUAAUGGCGAAGUUGUGCCUAGUUAUUAUGAACACGUGCCAAAGCAGGAGUAGGCACACAGCAAAGCAAAAUAUACUUCUACGGUUGCUGCAAUGAAGUUUUUCGCUUUCAUUUCUCACUUCGUUUCUGAUACUUUACGCGACCCAACACUUCGUGCCCUUAUUGGUGACGGUCUUUCCUAAUCUUUCCCACUGUGGCCUACUCAGAACUGUGUACGAGCAAGUAAAUGGGGAGAAGAGUGUGCCCAAUAGCGAAACGCAAAAAAGGCACAAGAGGCUAACUUCUCUACCUAAAGCUAACUGCUUAGGGGAUCUUGCUUCUUGCUUUGAAGAAGAUACGCUUGCUGACUGACCGUUGGCAGUUCAAACUGGAAAAAGCACCGUUCGGAGCACAUGAAGAAAAAACAGAGCCAAGGCAGGGCACUAAAGUGAUUUGUGGCGAUGACAAGCCCUAUAUUGUCGUGCGGGUAAUGCAUGACGCAGCGAUGUUGACGCUGAUGGUGUUUUAGAGUACAUAGGGGAAUGGCGUGGAAUUUCAAAGAGAUGGUGAGUGGCCACUUCUGCCUUACCGAAUGAGUAAUGACGUAGCCAGUCUUCCUUAGCACAUCGAAACUUUUGGUCAACACCCUUGUCUCCCACAAGCCUCAGGAGCCGCGCCACGGUUGCCCUCAGCAGCGCGCCCUACCGACCCACAAUAGAAAAAUGGGGCAAUACACACAACAUUGGUUCUGACAGUGGGGCAGCGAUCCUGCGACCAAGUCGAAAUUGUGCGUUCUCACCGAACGACGAAGGCAGGGAAGUCGUCAAGGGCGGGCAAAGAACAGAAACUGGAAGAAUGCUAGGUUGAUGGGGCAAUGGCGAAGCGGAGAAAAAACCGAAGGACAAACGUUAACACGACGAAAAUAAGAGGACAUUGGUCACUGGCCACAGAUGCACCUAGCGACGAAGUCUGCCGCUGUCAUGAUGCUUGACGGUGGAAGACCGGCGCUAGACAUAUGUCCGACUCCUGAUUGAAUGUUUGCACAAUGUCACUACACACUCAGCUUUUUGCUGUGCACCACGUACAUACAGCGAUUCCGCUUUUCCCUUCCCACGUCACAGACGCUAACGCAUUGAAAACUGAAAACGACGACAACGAUCACGUUUUUUUCCAGCAUUUGCCUGCCAAACAAUGGACAGAUAAAAAGAAAACAAGUGGGAGACGACGAUCUGGAUUUGAGGUCUUUGAAAAAAAAACAUGGAGAAUGUGCAAGAAAUGGAAAUUACAGAUCGAUAGUAAAUCAAAGUGAUAAAAAUCGAUGAAAUCAUCAUAGAAAGAUGCCUUUAUCUAGAUAAAGAAAUACUUCGACGAAAAUCAUUGGCCGACGUACAAUAAAUUGUCAUAGUAUUAAAUUCUUUGGAGACUAAUAAAGGCGCCC